GAACGCACCUUGCGCCCUUUGGCCAUUCCGAAGGGCAUGCCUGUUUGAGUAUCAUGAACACCUCAACUCAUCGUGGUUUUCCAUGAUGAGCUUGGACUUUGGGGGUUUUGCUGGCCUACAGUCGGCUCCUCUAAAAUAAAUCAGCUUACCGGUGUUUGGUGGGUAUCAUGGGUGUGAUAACUAUCUACGCUUGUGGUUUUUCCACCAGGUAACCUUCAGCAGUGAAGGUUCACUGGAGCUCAUAGACGUCUCUCCUCAGUGAGGACAGCCCUUUGAAUGUUUGAUCUCAAAUCAGGUAGGACUACCCGCUGAACUUA
rnacentral:misc_RNA from 1 species